GGGCUCAACCUGGGAACUGCAUUUGAGACUGCCAGGCUGGAGUUUGGCAGAGGGGGGUGGAAUUCCACGUGUAGCAGUGAAAUGCGUAGAGAUGUGGAGGAACACCGAUGGCGAAGGCAGCCCCCUGGGCCAAUACUGACGCUCAUGCACGAAAGCGUGGGGAGCAAACAGGAUUAGAUACCCUGGUAGUCCACGCCCUAAACGAUGUCAACUAGGUGUUGG
rnacentral:rRNA from 1 species